CUUUACUCUAGCUUGGCACUGAGUCGUACAUAUAUUUGUGCAGGAUAGGUGGGAGACUAUGAAAGAUGGACGCCAGUUCAUCUCGAGUCGUCGUUGAGAUACCACCCUUGUAUAUGUAUGCCUCUAACCCCUUUUUGGGGGACCGUGCUUGGUGGGGAGUUUAACUGGGGCGGUUGCCUCCCAAAACGUAACGGAGGCGCACAAAGGUAGGCUAGGUCCGGAUGGAAAUCGGACUGGUCGUGUAUUCGCACAAGCCUGCUUGACUGAGAGACCUACAAGUCGAUCAGAGACGAAAGUCGGUGAAAGUGAUCCGGCACCAACAUGUGGGAGUGGUGUCGCUCAACGGAUAAAAGUUA
rnacentral:rRNA from 1 species